UUUAAAGGCGUUAAUUCCUAGUAUGAAGUUUCCCACUGAACUCCUCUGGGACCAGCAGCUUCCGAGCAGAAUCACCCUGAGCUCAGACACUGGAACAAAAAGAUAAAAGAAAGUGGACACAGCAUCUUGUGGGAAGUGCACUGGCUGGAUCCUACUUCGUUCUCAGGGGAUGGACUGAACUUGUAAACCAGAGUUUCCUGUCUCAGACACCCUAGCCGCUGCUACUGCAGAUCUGCAGUCCGUCAGCCUGCUGUCUUAAUGAAUGCUUUUUGAAUAAUCCAACUGUCUGUAUUAACUAAAUACUACAUUGGUGUUCUGAGAAAAUAUGCAGUAUUCUUGCCAAAGAUUCAAACUGUUUUGUCCAAUGUUAAAAAAAAACCUGAAAAAUUUUAGUUUACACAUAAAAUAAACUGUUUGAUUGGCUGUGAGGUGCAAUUGACUGACGUGUCAUCUACUUGAUGUCAGCACAACAAACGGCUGCAAAACACUCCAAAUUUCAACAGUGGGAGACAGGAAAGAAUGAAAAGGAACCAAAUGAUCAGCAAAACGGACAGCGAAAAAUCCUGUUUUGAUAUUGUCCUGGUGUUUUGACAAACUUUUGUUG